rnacentral:ncRNA from 2 species
GGCAAUUCCUGGGGGAGCCUGUAUGGGCUGAGAUUCCGCGUCGUCGCGGUAACCCUUUGAACCUGAUCCGGGUAAUGCCGGCGAAGGGAAGGACAUCGCGCGGCUC